rfam:Ixodes scapularis strain Wikel colony gcontig_1107729097148, whole genome shotgun sequence.
GCAGCCGUGGCCAAGUGUUUAAGGCGAUGGACUAGAAAUCCAUUGGGGUCUCCCCGCACAGGUUCGAAUCCUGUCGACUGCG